GUUAAUAGCAUAUUCAUUUGACGUUAGCUGCAGAAGAAGCACCGGCUAACUCCGUGCCAGCAGCCGCGGUAAUACGGAGGGUGCGAGCGUUAAUCGGAAUUACUGGGCGUAAAGCGCAUGCAGGUGGUUUGUUAAGUCAGAUGUGAAAGCCCGGGGCUCAACCUCGGAAUUGCAUUUGAAACUGGCAAACUAGAGUACUGUAGAGGGGGUAGAAUUUCAGGUGUAGCGGUGAAAUGCGUAGAGAUCUGAAGGAAUACCGGUGGCGAAGGCGGCCCCCCUGGACAGAUACUGACACUCAGAUGCGAAAGCGUGGGGAGCAAACAGGAUUAGAUACCCCGGUAG
rnacentral:rRNA from 1 species